rnacentral:ncRNA from 2 species
ACAAUGAUACUUCCGUCCAGUCACAGCUAAUAACAAUGAGGGCGGUUUUGUGAGAACCACAAAAGGGUGAGAUCCCCAUGA